GCUGGGCAUGGUGGCGCGUGCCUGUAAUCCCAGCUACUCAGGAGGCUGAGACAGGAGAAUUGCUUGAACCCGAGAGGCAGAGGUUGCAGUGAGCAGGGAUCGAGCCACUGCACUCCAGCCUGGGUGACAGAGGGAGACCCUGUCUCAA
rnacentral:SRP_RNA from 1 species